rnacentral:rRNA from 1 species
AAUUUUGGGCAAUGGGCGAAAGCCUGACCCAGCAACGCCGCGUGAGGGAGGAAAUCCUUCGGGAUGUAAACCUCACAAGCAAGGGAAGAGCGCGAGGGGGCGAAUAACCCUCUCGUCCGACGGUACCUUGCGUAAGCCACGGCUAACUACGUGCCAGCAGCCGCGGUAAUACGUAGGUGGCAAGCGUUGUUCGGAAUUAUUGGGCGUAAAGGGCGCGUAGGCGGCAGAUCAAGUCAGUUGUGAAAUCUCCGAGCUUAACUCGGAACUGUCAGCUGAUACUGUUUUGCUAGAGUGCGGAAGGGGCAAUCGGAAUUCUUGGUGUAGCGGUGAAAUGCGUAGAUAUCAAGAGGAACACCUGAGGUGAAGACGGGUUGCUGGGCCGACACUGACGCUGAGUGCGCGAAAGCCAGGGGAGCAAACGGGAUUAGAUACCCCGGUAGUCCUGGCCUUA